rnacentral:tRNA from 1 species
UGCAGGAUAUUUUAAAAAAAAUAUGGGGCUCAUGAUCCUAAGAUGAAAACUUUGUAGCGUUUUCUCCUGUAA